CUUUGAAAGUAUCAUCGAUGGUUCUUGUGCUUCAUGUUCGUCUGCGGUAACCUGCCACGUGACGCAUUUACUUGGUUUACGAAUGUGCUUCGUGGUAGAUAAUCCGAAGAAAUGUAUAUUCACACCUCAUUCCUGGUAUAUUGAAGCACAAGAUUACGAUUAGCCCAAGCAGAGACGAUGGUGCUACCAGAAAAUGCAAUUGAACUGUUGUAAGUGACAAAGCCAUAUUAUGAAGAUUCCUGUCCAAAAUCGAAGAAAAUGAGGUUUUCCACUUUGGGUUCUACCAUCACAUUAGCUUGUCAUUUGGAAUCAAAGUUUCGUCAGGGAAAAAAGUUGACUGUGAGCUAAUACUUCCCUGAACUAGUCUCUAACCGAGCAGUAG